GGAAACCGGGAUUAAUACCAAAUAAAAUCAUAAUGACACAUGUCAUAACGAUCAAAACUCCGGUGGUCUAAGAUGGACUCGCGUCCCAUUAGCUAGUUGGUAGAGUAAAAGCCUACCAAGGCGACGAUGGGUAGCCGGCCUGAGAGGGUGAACGGCCACGUUGGGACUGAGAUACGGCCCAG
rnacentral:rRNA from 1 species